rnacentral:lncRNA from 10 species
UGGCAUGGGCGCACGAGAAGGGUGUGUCUGAGACAGGAUGUUUAUCCCAAAUGCCAGGAGUGGACGAGGCGGACGAGUGGCAGUGAGGCUGAGCCAGCAACCUCCUUGGCACCUGGGGACAGUCGCUUCCUCAGUUUCUGCGUACCGACUGCCUCACCUGACACGCGGCCUGGGCGCGAGAGAAGCCAACCAGGUGCCUGAGUUGACUGACUCCUUCCGCCCUCCAGCUUCCUCCCUCCGCCCUCCAACCUCCUCCCUCCACCCUCCAACCUCCUCCCUCCGCCCUCCAACCUCCUCCCUCUGCCCUGCAACCUCCUCCCCUCUGCCCUCCAACCUCCUCCCU